rnacentral:rRNA from 1 species
ACGGACAAAGGGCAGCAAACUCGCGAGGGCUAGCAAAUCCCAUAAACCGUGGCUCAGUUCAGAUCGUAGGCUGCAACUCGCCUACGUGAAGUAGGAAUCGCUAGUAAUCGCAGGUCAGCAUACUGCGGUGAAUACGUUCCCGGGCCUUGUACACACCGCCCGUCACACCAUGGAAGUUGGCCAUGCCCGAAGUCGUUACUCCAACCCUUGUGGAGGAGGACGCCGAAGGUGGGGCUAAUGACUGGGGUGAAGUCGUAACAAGGUAGCCGUACCGGAAGGUGCGGCUGGAUCACCUCCUAA